AAAUUUAGGGGAGCUUAUAAAAUAGGCUGAGAAAGAGAUGUUAUCUCUGACCCUCAUAACCUGAUUUGGUUAAUACCAACGUAGGGAACAUUG
rnacentral:ncRNA from 1 species